rnacentral:rRNA from 1 species
GACGAACGCUGGCGGCGUGCUUAACACAUGCAAGUCGAACGGCAAGGCACUGCUUUUGUGGGGUGCCCGAGUGGCGAACGGGUGAGUAACACGUGUGUAACCUGCCCUUGAUUUUGGGAUAAGUUAAGGAAACUGGGGCUACUCCAGGAUAGCAGCUCCCGCUGCAUGGUGGGGGUUGGAAAGUCUCGGCGGUUGGGGAUGGACUCGCGGGUUAUGAGCUUGUUGGUGGGGUAGUGGCUUACCAAGGGAUUGACCGGUCGCCGGCCUGAGAGGGUGAACGGCGACAAGGGGACUGAGAGACGGCGCAGACUGCAACGUUGGACAGCAGGGGGGAGUAUGGCACAGUGAGCGCAAGCCGGAGGCGACGACGCCGCGGGCGGAAAGACGGCCUGCUGGGUAUAAACCGCUGUCGCUUAUUACGAAGCUUUUGUGACGGUAAUAAAAAAAUAAGCACCGGCUAACUACGUG